rnacentral:rRNA from 1 species
ACGGAAGGCAGCAGUGGGGGAUAUUGCACAAUGGGGGAAACCCUGAUGCAGCGACGCCGCGUGAGUGAUGAAGUAUUUCGGUAUGUAAAGCUCUAUCAGCAGGGAAGAAAAUGACGGUACCUGACUAAGAAGCACCGGCUAAAUACGUGCCAGCAGCCGCGGUAAUACGUAUGGUGCAAGCGUUAUCCGGAUUUACUGGGUGUAAAGGGAGCGUAGACGGCAAUGUAAGUCUGAAGUGAAAGCCCCGGGCUCAACCCGGGAACUGCUUUGGAAACUGUAUAGCUAGAGUGCAGGAGAGGUAAGUGGAAUUCCUAGUGUAGCGGUGAAAUGCGUAGAUAUUAGGAGGAACACCAGUGGCGAAGGCGGCUUGCUGGACGACAACUGACGCUGAGGCGCGAAAGCGUGGGGAGCAAACAGGAUUAGAUACCCUGGUA